CUCCUACGGGAGGCAGCAGUGGGGAAUAUUGCACAAUGGGCGAAAGCCUGAUGCAGCAACGCCGCGUGAACGAUGAAGGUCUUCGGAUCGUAAAGUUCUGUUGCAGGGGAAGAUAAUGACGGUACCCUGUGAGGAAGCCCCGGCUAACUACGUGCCAGCAGCCGCGGUAAUACGUAGGGGGCUAGCGUUAUCCGGAUUUACUGGGCGUAAAGGGUGCGUAGGUGGUCCUUCAAGUUGGUGGUUAAAGGCUACGGCUCAACCGUAGUAAGCCGCCGAAACUGGAGGACUUGAGUGCAGGAGAGGAAAGUGGAAUUCCCAGUGUAGCGGUGAAAUGCGUAGAUAUUGGGAGGAACACCAGUAGCGAAGGCGGCUUUCUGGACUGCAACUGACACUGAGGCACGAAAGCGUGGGUAGCAAACAGGAUUAGAUACCCUGGUAGUCCACGCUGUAAACGAUGAGUACUAGGUGUCGGGGGUUACCCCCCUCGGUGCCGCAGCUAACGCAUUAAGUACUCCGCCUGGGGAGUACGCACGCAAGUGUGAAACUCAAAGGAAUUGACGGGGACCCGCACAAGUAGCGGAGCAUGUGGUUUAAUUCGAAGCAACGCGAAGAACCUUACCUAAGCUUGACAUCCCUCGGACAGGUGUUUAAUCACACCCUUUCUUCGGGACUGAGGUGACAGGUGGUGCAUGGUUGUCGUCAGCUCGUGUCGUGAGAUGUUGGGUUAAGUCCCGCAACGAGCGCAACCCUUGUCUUUAGUUGCCAGCAUUCAGUUGGGCACUCUAGAGAGACUGCCAGGGAUAACCUGGAGGAAGGUGGGGAUGACGUCAAAUCAUCAUGCCCCUUAUGCUUAGGGCUACACACGUGCUACAAUGGGUGGUACAGAGGGUUGCCAAACCGUGAGGUGGAGCCAAUCCCUUAAAGCCAUUCUCAGUUCGGAUUGUAGGCUGAAACUCGCCUACAUGAAGCUGGAGUUACUAGUAAUCGCAGAUCAGAAUGCUGCGGUGAAUGCGUUCCCGGGUCUUGUACACACGC
rnacentral:rRNA from 1 species